UGGUAGCAGUAGCACCAGUGGAAGCUCCCCUGCCAGUCAGUCAAAGAUGCCUGGGAGUGCUUACCUCCCCUCACCAAAGGCCGCAGAAGAGACUAGAGUACAGCCCUCAUCUGAGAACGAACAGCCUAUGGGCCUUAAUGUUAGGCCUCAUCUUUUAAGAGCCUCCAGCAUGCCUAUAAAUGUUCCACGUAGGAAAGGUUCAGAUUCAACUGAUGAGCAGAGUUCCCAAUCGCAGAAUGGCUCAGCUGAGAGGCUUUUUCGACCAGCGGAUGGAGGUGACAGGAGAGGCAGUGUUCCCCAGGACAGGGCCAGCUUGCAUCAACAGAUCACAGCUGCACUGAAAAGGGUGCGGGAGUUAGAAGAGCAAGUCAGGACCAUCCCUGAGUUGAGGGCUCAAAUAUGCUCUCUUAGAACUGAGAGGGAAGAACUGCUUCAAAGAAUUCAAGAACACAAAUCAGAGCAAAAGAGUGAGGUUCCUCAAAUUGGUGAGCAAGACAGUGCUGUUCCUCCAGCUGUAAGUAAAAAGAAAGAUGCUCCUUCCAUUUACACGGAUACUGCAGCUGAUCCUGAAAUUGUUCAAGCAGUACAGUCCAACAAAACCACAGAACAACAGAAACAAAAUCUUGUGGUGCAGGUUAUAGUAGAGCAGGAGUCUGAAAAAGUAACUGAUACAGAGUCAGAGAAGGAACAAGUGCCAGCUCCAGUGUCUGUCCCAGUAAUACUCAUAGACAAAGCAGAAACUCCAACUGAUCCAGAUGAAGCAGAGGGACUUUUGCAGGAGUCUACACUUCAAGAAGAAGCAUCAAAGAGUCUUUCAGAGCAAGCAGAAAGGCAGGAUAGACCAUCAGAGAUGUUGUUAGAAGAUAAACAGUCAACGCAGUCACGAGGGAUUUCAGAAUCAGAGGAAUCCGUUGCUGCAUCUGAAUGUACAUCCACUCAAGAAGACACUGCGACUGUUGAGGGACAGAGUGUUAUUACAACUGCAGAAAUUACAAUAGCCCAACCUGCUGAACAGAAACUUCUCACUAACCUGGAGCUGGAAGCAAAAGUGAAAACUUUGGAAGAGAGUCUAAGCAAGGCCAGUUGUGAACUGGAAAAGACAAAUGCCUUACUGAGAGAGCAGAUGGAUGAGAAUCAUCGAAAGGAUCAGAGAAUACAGGAACUGACCGAUCAAGUGAAGGAGCAGAAAGUUCAAGGUCCUAUCGAGACAGAGCCGCUAUCUGAACUAGUUGUCACAUGUGAUGCAUCAGUCACUACAGACAGCAAAUGUGUAGCGGAUAAAGGAAUCGCAACAGAACCUCAACCAGCUGAGGGUCCCAAAGAAACAGACUC
ensembl:lncRNA